ACCGCUUUCCUUUGCCUCGAUCAUGAUUGGUUAGCCCCUCCAGAAAAGCCGUGGAACCGCCCCUAACAGGAGACUGCGUGGCUCCUGCGACCGCGGGAUGACGUCACGUACGCGCCAAGGAAGCGUUCCUUUUGUUGGCCGUCCGAUGAGAACUACUCACCUUAGAGCUACCGAAGACUAGAGUGCCGGAGGAGCGCUCCCCCUUCCGAUCUCCCUGAGUUCCCGCAGCGCCUGCUGUGCUGGUCAGAAUUCAGCUUCAGCGGUGGCCGGAGUCUCUUUCCUGCAGCAGGGAAUCCAGGCUGAUUUUUUUCCUGCUCCUGAAUCAACGAAGCUGGAUCCCGGUAAAGGCUCGGACUGAGCAGAGCUGGCUUUUUCUAGCCUUCCGGCCAGGCUCACCAACCAGUCGGCUUCCUCGGGCCUCCUUUCCUGACCGGCGGGGCCAUUCUACUGGCCAUAAGGAACGCCUCUGGAUUGCCCAAUGGGCUCCCUCCCAGUCGUCUUCUGAGGAUCUGUUCUGGACAGACUUCACGGGAGCAAGAGAGGCCAGGAACACGGAGGAAGCCAAGCUGUGCUACGUCCAGAGGGGGCCAGAAAUCUGUGAGGAAACCUUGACUCUCAGAAGCUGGAAUUGCACCCUCAUCACACACACACACACUCCCCGGGCUGUGUCUGCAAAGACCAAUGCUGUGACCGUGGAGUGGGGAGGCAGAGCUUGUGGGGGCCUCUUCCUUAUGCCCUGAACAGCUCCAUUCAUGCCGGAACGGGACUGUGUGUCUGGAAGGCUUCAUAGCCAAUAACACUCUUGUGCAGUUGUUAACAAUAGCCUGUGUGUGUCUGGCCUAGAAACUUCUUGGUCAGGUAACAUGCAUGUUUGUGUGUUUGUGAGUUUGAUAACUGAUUGGCUUGAGUUUUUCGAGCUUUGCUUUGUACAAAUAUCUUGAGCUUGCUGGUUUGCCCAAGUGCCAUUGGAUCGGAAACAAACUGCAUUUGUGUGUUGUUUAGCACGAAGAUCCACAAAGUGUCAAUUCCUUGAAGGGCGUUUUGGCUUCUGAUAUAUCAGAAGACCUGUGCACAAUGACUGAGAGCUGUGGAAGUUCCUACAAGGAAGCAUGCCCAGGUCCUAGGCUCUUUGGCCAAGUGCUGACCCCUCUCCCUAGAAAGAGACACAGGGGGGAGGGUCGGCUUGGCAGCAGGGGCAGCCCCACUUGCGGAGUAGUCUCGACAGCAAGGCUCCCCUGCUCCCCUCAUGUGAUCCUGGAUGCCAGGUGGAGACCUAUUUUCUUGUGUGCUGGAAUCCAGUGUGAGCUGUCCGGAGACCAAUCGUGUGGCAGCCAAUAAAGCAUGGUUUGGAAUAAAGAUGAAAA